CCUACGGGAGGCAGCAGUAAGGAAUAUUGGUCAAUGGACGCAAGUCUGAACCAGCCAUGCCGCGUGAAGGAUGAAAGCCCUCUGGGUUGUAAACUUCUUUUAUAGGGGACGAAAAAAGGGAAUUCUUUCCCGUCUGACGGUACCCUAGGAAUAAGCACCGGCUAACUCCGUGCCAGCAGCCGCGGUAAUACGGAGGGUGCAAGCGUUAUCCGGAUUCACUGGGUUUAAAGGGAGCGUAGGUGGGCAGGUAAGUCAGUGGUGAAAUCUCCGGGCUUAACCCGGAAACUGCCAUUGAUACUAUCUGUCUUGAAUAUCCUGGAGGUGAGCGGAAUAUGUCAUGUAGCGGUGAAAUGCUUAGAUAUGACAUAGAACACCAAUUGCGAAGGCAGCUCACUACGGGAUUAUUGACACUGAGGCUCGAAAGCGUGGGGAUCAAACAGGAUUAGAUACCCUGGUAGUCCACGCCCUAAACGAUGGAUACUCGACAUUAGCGAUACACUGUUAGUGUCUGNGNGAAGANAUAGUAUCCACCUGGAGACGACGCAGUAGAACGACGAAGAAGUAGAGNGNGAGAGNGCGAGACGACGACGAGGAGGAG
rnacentral:rRNA from 1 species